rnacentral:rRNA from 1 species
AAAGCGUGCGCAGGCGGUUUUGUAAGUCAGAUGUGAAAUCCCCGAGCUCAACUUGGGAACUGCGUUUGAAACUACAAGGCUAGAGUAUGGUAGAGGGGGGUAGAAUUCCACGUGUAGCAGUGAAAUGCGUAGAGAUGUGGAGGAAUACCAAUGGCGAAGGCAGCCCCCUGGGAUAACACUGACGCUCAUGCACGAAAGCGUGGGGAGCAAACAGGAUUAGAUACCCCGGU